CAACAACAGACUCGGUGAAAUUGUAAUUCCGGUGAAGAUGCCGGAUACCUGCGACAGGACGGAAAGACCCCAUGGAGCUUUACUGUAGCUUGACAUUGGGUCUUGGUACUACAUGUACAGGAUAGGUGGGAGGCUUUGAAACCAGGACGCCAGUUUUGGCGGAGCCAUCCUUGGGAUACCACCCUUGUAGUACUGGGACUCUAACCAUAGGCCAUGAAUCUGGUCUUGGGACACUGUCAGGUGGGCAGUUUGACUGGGGCGGUCGCCUCCCAAAAGGUAACGGAGGCGCUCAAAGGUUCUCUCAGUACGGUCGGAAAUCGUACGUAGAGUGUAAAGGCAAAAGAGAGCUUGAUUGCAAGACAUACAGGUCGAGCAAGGAUGAAAAUCGGACUUAGUGAUCCGGUGGUUCUGCGUGGAAGGGCCAUCGCUCAACGGAUAAAAGCUACCCUGGGGAUAACAGGCUUAUCUCCCCCAAGAGUCCACAUCGACGGGGAGGUUUGGCACCUCGAUGUCGGCUCAUCACAUCCUGGGGCUGUAGUAGGUCCCAAGGGUUGGGCUGUUCGCCCAUUAAAGUGGUACGCGAGCUGGGUUCAGAACGUCGUGAGACAGUUCGGUCCCUAUCCGUCGCAGGCGUAGGAAAUUUGAGAAGACCUGUCCUUAGUACGAGAGGACCGGGAUGGACGUACCUCUGGUGUACCAGUUGUCCUGCCAAGGGCAUGGCUGGGUAGCUAUGUACGGAAUGGAUAAGCGCUGAAAGCAUCUAAGCGCGAAGCCAACUUCAAGAUAAGAUUUCC
rnacentral:rRNA from 1 species